GUCUAGACAGUCCCUGAAUGGGAAAAGACAAGGCUCCUGAUUGAGAGCUCACUCCAGUGAAGUCAGUGCAGGUAAAAUCUCGGUGCUUUGCAGUAGGGAGGAGCCUGUAGGCUGAGAUACUCUCACAAAGGCUUUUAAUGUUGUGCAGGCAACAGGAAUAUUUGCCAGCGGGUUGUUUGCUGGAGUUUGUGCUUUCAUUGCGUGUCGAUUCUGAGUCUCUUUAUUAAGGACCAAGAGCGCAGCGGGGUGAUGAGAGUGCAGCUGGUGUAGUUGACAGAGCAUCCCAUGGAGGGGCAAGAAGGGAGAGGGUAACAGGACGAAGGACUUAAUUCAUCAUGGGUGCUACAAGUGAUCAGCAUCAGUGAGAGCCUUCUAGACACUGGAGGAGCUGGGGCAUUGGUGUGAGGUGCUGAGUGAUUACAAUGCCAUUGUUGCUGUCUGGCCUACCAUGUUCUUGAUUAACUCAAGUUAAACAUUCUUAGCAGCAUCUUAGCAUCAAAGAAUUAACUCGCUAUUACAGACUCUAGCGCUCUGUUUCUUCCCAUUUUACCCCAGGGAUUUUUUUAUUAUAUAUCAAAAGCUUUCUUUAAGUCAAAGACCAGCCGAAUGUUCCAGGGCAGGGAGAACAAACCAAAGCCCAUCUCCAAGUUCACUGGAUACUUUGCACUAAAUUCUCAUUGGUAAAAUGCAGAUAUGUUUCCCAGUGCAGCUAAGUGCAAACAGAGCUCUUAAAACAUAGAAAGGCAUACACACGCACGUGUGUGUCAAACCAAGUGCUUUCUUGAAGUGAUUCAAACUGAAAAAUCUGACUUACAAUGCUUGCAUCGCUGUUGCGUGAGAGCAUCUCGUCGUCAUUAACGAUAAUAUUCUCAGAACACACCUGAGAGACAGGAAAGCAUUCUUCUUUCACAGAUGGAAAGAAGAGAGAUGAAGUGGUUUGCCCAAGAUCACAAAGGAAGAUGGCGGCAGAGCAAGGAAUUAAGCCCUAAUCUCCUGAAUUCCAGUGUUCUUAUGCUCGCCAGGUUCCCAGCCUGGCAAAACAAGCGUGCUUCCUGGGAAACAGGAUCCUUGAAGUUGAUACCUUCAAGCCCUAGAAGGUCAUCCAGGAGUUCCUGGACCAGUGCUCUUUGUGAGCUGCUGAAGAAACUCGCUGCUUUCCCCCUGACAUUCAGACACCAGGUUCCCUUGGCCCAUGAGGCUAAUUCAUCCCACUGCCAGGGCAUGUAAGAAUCUUCAUGGGAGCCAGAAUGAGCUGCAGACCUUCCAUCAGAUCCAAAGGCGGACCCGCCGGCACCGGACCAUCUUCACUGAAGAUCAGCUACAAGCCCUGGAGGCCCUUUUCAACCAGAACCAGUACCCAGAUGUCAUCACCAGAGAGCACCUGGCCAACCGCAUCCACUUGAAGGAGGAGAGAGUAGAGGUUUGGUUUAAAAAUCGACGGGCCAAGUGGAGACAUCAGAAAAGAGCUUCUACUUCGGCUCUGCUCCUUCAAGGCACCAAGAAACCCUCAGAGGAGAACUGCUAAGGGACUGACCCUAAGUCUCACUGGGUUACUGUGAAAAGCACCAAUUGCCCUGUUCCACUGGUUUCGCGGCCAGGUGGGACAGAUGGAAGAGGAGGGGGGCUGGAGAAGGAAAGCAGUGAGGGAAUCUUCUGAUUCGAUGAGGUAAAGGGCAGGUAAAAGUAGGCACUGUAUUUUCAAGUCCUUAGCUUUUUCAUCCGAACAAAGUUCAUCUCAUGACAAAUAAAACAAAUGAGUCAUAGGGCAUGUUCCUCAAAUGCGUAAGCCGAAAAGUUGCCAAAUGUCAAAGGUGGGGAUAGAGCUUGCUUCAAUGUUAGUAUUGUAGAUGCAAGUGUGGAUGAUGGAGAAAGAUUCCUCUCAACUUGUCUUUGUUCCUGUACAGAUCAUGUUGUGCCUGUUUUGUUGUUAUAUAGUAGAUUCGGAGACUAUUCCGGAAAAUGGCCUGGGGUUUAUAUUGUUUUUACAGUGUCAUGAUGGUGUCUACAGUUGCAUUUUGGGGUCAAGGUGGAAAUUGAUUAAUUACACAACUCAUUCCUUAAACAAACUAACAGGCUCUAUUUGCAUUCUUCAAAAGAAAUUCAUUCAUGUACAGAGUAGGGGGCAUCAAAGUACUAAUAGUACUUUCAGACUAACGUCUUCAACUAACCUGUGCUAACGCAUGGCUGUAGUACAGUUGGUUGUUAGUGCAGACAAAGCCAUUUGUAUACUUAGCAAUCUUCUCUUUCCAUGCCCGACCACUCUGCAGCUGCUCUCGUCGCAAUGUGGGUUGGGUUGCCUGGAAUGGGGCAACAGCAGUUGCCAACCCCAAACAAAAUGGCAAAAGAGAAAUGAAAACUAAACUGUAGCUUCGCAGAGGAAAAGCAGCACCUGCUGCUAUAGGUAUCCACUAGAGUUUGUACUGAUAGAAGGGUGUAUUUCACCAGAGAAGCUGGUUGUUUCCUUUUUGUGUGUGUUUCACUCAGCUUGGAUAAUUAAACUAGAUCUGUCAGUUUCCCAUUCUGGUUCUCAUGCACUAGGACCUUGCUUUCGGGUCUGGAGUGGUGCAUUGGGCUUCACAACAACACAGAGGAAAGCUUCAGCCCCAGAACUGUCUAUGUGGUGCAAAAUCUGCCCCACCUGCUGUGUAAAUGCUAAGGAUGAUAACUGUAUGCAGUGUUGUAGCCAUGGCAGUCCUAGGACAUUAAAGAGACAAGGUGGAUGAGGUAAUAUCUUUUAUUGGAUCAACUUCUGUUGGUGAGAGCUUGUCUCUCAAGAUAUUACCUCACCUACCUAAGGAUGAUAAUUGGCAAUGUCCUACAAGGCCAGCCAGCUUUUGAAGAAUUGUUCUUGAUUUCCAUCCCCAUUCUAUGUUUUAUUCCUUGCAGACAGAUUCCCUUUCAUUUUCAGACUUGGAUCCCUCCAUGAUAAUUGUGGGUAAUGGGGUGUGUAUGUGCAGUAAAUGCUGCUGGAGUUCUUUUCAAGCUGUCUGUAAAAUAAAGAUUCAUAAAUAAAUGUAUUGGGGAGACAGCUGGUACUGUGAUUGGAGCCCUGGCAUCGAGCUUGCCAAAUACGAUGCUCUUGACAAAAGAAGUAACUUUACUAAUUUAAGUCCACAAAGAUUCUGUCACUGUAAAUAACACUUUGCACUCCACAGCACCUUUCCCUUCCUUCUCUGCUGCAGGGCUCACACCAAGAGCCACACACUAGUGUAGAAUUUUCAACACAAGGGUAUUGAGUUAAUCCUGAGUGAUGCCAUUUUCUGGUGGAGAAUGUGCUCUACUGAACAGCGCAGCCCUGAAAGUUGGGAGCACUGGCCGGGGUGUGGGACACGGAUAGGGGAUAACAUAUCCAGUGUUUGAAUACUGGGAAUUGUCAUCUUGUUUCAGGAUAGGACACACAUACAGGCAAAAUAAUACUAAUCUGUUUCCCCCAAGCGAACUACCUGAAAAGCACUAAUUGAACAUUAAUGCAAUAUCCAUCUUUUCAAAGAUAUAUAGAGGCUUGGCAGGAUGGGAUUAUCAGUAAAGGUCGAUUGCACCGAACACAUACAAACCACUGAAAAAAUAUUUCCAUUGAUAAUAAUCAAAAUUUACUGAUGAGUAAAGUGAAUGAAAAUGCUGCUUGAGAACUUGUUUAAUUUAAGAAUAUUUACU